CUUAGAGUUUGAUCCUGGCUCAGAAUCAACGCUGGCGGCGUGCCUCAGACAUGCAAGUCGAACGCGAAAGCCCCUUCGGGGGCAAGUAGAGUGGCGCACGGGUGAGUAACACGUAGGUAAUCUACCUUUGGAUUGGGAAUAACCACCGGAAACGGUGGCUAAUACCGAAUAAUGCAGCGGCACCUAAUGGUGACAGUUGUUAAAGCGGGGGAUCGCAAGACCUCGCGUCUGAAGAGGAGCCUGCGGCAGAUUAUCUAUUUGGUAAGGUAACGGCUUACCAAGGCGAUGAUCUGUAGCCCGGCCUGACAUGGCGGGCGUGUGGGGGGGGGGGGGUUUAUAAGUCAAACUCCUAUGGGAGCCAGCGUUUGUGAUACUUUUUGCAAAUGCAUUAAGUUAGAUA
rnacentral:rRNA from 1 species